UGCAUCUUUGAUACCAAGAAUCAGACUGUUCCUGUAAGUGCUACGUAAGCCCUGAAUUUUAUUGAUUUAUUAUGCGUGUUGAUCUUGCAGUAAUGAACAGAACCUCAGAUAUCAUAUAAAGGCUUGAAAGUGACAUUUAAUGUUCUUACACAACAUUCACUGUGAUAGUUAGGUACAUAGAAAUAUUAACACCCUGGCUGCAAAAGAGCACACUGAAAUUCAAGUAAAACUAGUCUGAUAAAGACACAGACACUGAAGAUCUUCUGUGCCCCUACACAAGGCUGCAGAACUUUGAAGUCUGAACUGCCAGAUAGGAAUUUACUUUAAAGCAUCAGCGUUGCUUAGUCUGCAAAAUUCUCCCAUGUAAUUAGGAGUUAAAUUCAACUACCCUCAGUAAUAACUGAAAAGUACUGAAAAAACCCAUACCUGUGUAUACUCCAGGCUUUUAAUUCCUUUUCUAUUCAAGUCUAAAUGACUAUAUUCUAUUACCAGAGGAAUAUCGAGACAGAAAAUAAAUGCAGAGGGACUCUCACAAGUAGGCAGCUGUUCAAGAAAACAGUUUAACAAAAAUAGCAGCUGUACUGCUUGGAUAUCCUCCAGGGUUGAGCUGGAAAGCUUCACAUGCACUCAAUUUAAGGAAAACGGAAGACUUCCACCCACCACCUCCUUUGGGACCGUGCUUUUUCUUUGCUCUCCCACUCUUCAGUGACCUCUCUACUCCAGUUAUACACACAGCCUUCCACUCUCAAGGAGAGUGAAUAGAAGAAGGACCUUUUAAGAAACUUAACACAAGUGAGAGGCAUUUUCAUCUAGCAGAUAAUAAAAUAUAUGCAACUUACCAGCACCAGGUAACACCAAGGUAUUACUGGUUUCAAAAGUGAUUCAGGGAGAUUUGAGGAGGAUUGGUCCACUGAUGACUAUUAAAUCCAAUAGCCAAGAAACUCCCAUACCACUGACUGCUGAAAGCUGAAAAUAAAAGCUACAGGAAGAACGACCCUUUCAAACUAUUUUUCACACUGUUUCUUAGUUACCUGCAUCCAAGCACCCACCAAACCUCUCUCAGUAUUUAAUACGUGCUCAGCAUUCCACUGGCAAGGAGAAAACCUCUUAGGUGAUGUCUCUCCUGCUGGAUUUUCUUCCUAUUUCCUCCUGCAGGAGCACUGAACGUCCAUGCAAUGCUUUGCCCCCAUUUUUAGGGGGAUAUUAUUUCUGCUACGUUCUUUUGCCCUUCGGCAGAAUCCUCAACUCCGGGAGGCCUAUCCCUAUCAGAUCACUCUCAUGAUUGGGGCAUGGCAUCACAUAUUUUGUUCGUAACAGGAGCAAUGAUAAUUUGCAGCAGUUCUUGAUCCUUGCUCAGAAGAUUUUUCACUGCUGUUGGCUGCAAUGACUUUUCAGCUGAAGAGAAAUGGUUUCCACCUGGUCCAAUUUAGAAUAACUCAGCUGCAGAGCCUAGAGAGAAGGAACUGCUUUUGCCCAACUCAAAAGCAUUUCAGAGUUUCCCCGGGACUGAAUUCCUCCCUCGUGACCACAUGGCCCAACCACAACCCACGCCUCCACAUGUGGGCACACUCCUGUGCCUGCAGGGCUAAAUGCAGGCUCUAACGAGCUUUGUGCCUGAACCAGGACUGCAACUAUUUUGUAGUAUCAAACCUCUGCAGAUUCUGUAGUGCCCCACUCUGGACAUGAAACCACACAUCUCCCAGUCAAAACAAAGCAAGGCUAUCAUUCUGCCAUUGGGAAACAUAGCAAAAGCCACAGGAAUAAGUAAUUUAUAUUUUCUAUGUAAAUAACAAAAUCCAGUCCAAAAGAACAAGUAGUAACAAGCCUGAAGAACCCACACCAUAAGACAGGUAUUUUUAGGCAGCAACACAAGGCUGCUGGCAUCAGGACGAGGACAAGGCAGCCCCACAGGCUGCAGACCACCAGCCAUGCAUUAUUCAUCUCUGCAGGCAGUAACUGAUAGCUCUGCUUUGGUUACAGCACUCUUACUUGUCUCACAAAUCUCAGUUCAGUAGUUUGGCAAACUUGACUGAGCCUCAAGCUGUGGUUGUGCACAGCAGGCACCUGAGCAUCUCCAUGCUUGUUACCAUGCAUUUACCCUCAGCCUACCUGUUUGAUGAUUCCUUGCAAGACAGGACUGCUCUGGAAGGUCAGUUUUAUACAGACAGCAAGGUGAGCAUCUCCUGUGUCAGAGCCUGAGCUCCCAUCAGUGUCAGCUGUGCGGCGUUGGGAGCCAUCACACACAGAUGCCUUUAGUUGGUGUGUGAUCAGCAUUCUCUACUAAAUGCACCAAGGAGCAUCUCUCCUUAACUAUCCCUAAGCAAAUAGAAGUGUUAGCUGUUGCAAAAAAAUUUGACUUCAUCUGUUGUUAGAUGGUAAGAGCUAGUCAUUUCUGGAUGUUAGAAUGCUAUUCUGCUGAGUGAGACUGUCUGCAUGUGAAAGCUAAAAGCAAUGGUAACCUAUGUGUGCAGUAGGUACAGCCUGAACUGCAUAUUCAUAAAUUGCUCUGCUGAAUGCAGCUUAACUCAAGGAUUUCCAUAACAAGUUAUUGCUUUUGCACGGAUUUUUGCAGUCUGUCCAUUUUGACAUCUCAGGGAAUCUACCAAAACACCACUUGGAAAUGCUAAUAAAGAUGGCUUAUCUAAAAAACCCAGCUCUAUCAAACUACCCAAUUUCCGGAGCUGCACCAGAUCAAAUAAGGAACAGCUUAGAACUGCUCUUCUCCAACCUGAAUGAAUUCAUGAUUCUGUGACAGUCUGACCUUGCUGUGCUGCAUUUAUCCAGCUGGGGACAGGCAGUGGGACCCCUCAGGGCUCAGUGUGGCAGAGCCCCGUGCUGAGACAGGCACAGGGCAUCGAUCCCUUCUGCCACUGCCACCACGGCACGCGCAGUGCCUGAGCACUCACCCGCAGGCCGUGAGAUUCAUCGCCCUGUGGCUGCUACUGACUGAAUUCCCCCAUUUUUCCUCUCCUGAGCCAGUGCUGCAGCUCCCGUGGGCAGCAAUGUGCUCUGAGCUCGCAGCCGACAGACGCACCCGGAGCCAUCUGUGCCGAGCGGUUUGUGUGCAAAGCACGGCUACCUUCUGUUUGCUACCUUCAGCAACGAGACGGCACGAUGCAGGAACAAUCAGAGAGAAAUGUUUCUGUCAUCUUCACUGGUACCCUCAGCUCCGCGGCCUCCUGAAUGUGAAUUAGUGUCUUAAGCAGUUUAUUCAUUCAUGGCAAUCUGUUCAUUUAUUUUCAAGAGAUUGUGGAGCUCCAGGAAGCCUCAUCUGAUUUUUCUUUUCCUCCCUAAGCUCUGACUGCACAAUAUACUUUAUUUUUCUCAGAUCGUUGCUGCUUCCACUCUGCCGAGCUGAGAUGCCAGAAAGUCCUGGGCUGAGAAAUGGAGAAGGGAAACGCUUAGGAUUGAUGCUUGGGGAUUCUCGAGGUCUUUCCCAGCCUUGAUGACUGUAAGCAAAGAGCAUCACAGCCACAGGGGACACCAACGCUCAGCUCGGGGCUGAUGGGGAGCUGAGGGCAUGAUGCAGCGAGUUCUGUGCCUGAGAGAAGGGUGGGGAAUCUCAUCCUUGGGAAGAGGCUGAGAUGGGAACAGCAGUGGGGGUCUCUUGGGAAAAGAAGCGUCCUUAGAAGCUCCCAGUGCCUCCUGGUCUUCACAGCACAGAAGCACUGUUUACUUUCUGCAGCCAGAAUCGGAUCACAGCCCCAUUCACUGAAAAAUUUUGCUUUGAAAAGCAAAAAGCACAAAGAAAUAGGAAGCUUUCCAAAGCACAAAUAAAUGUUUAUUUCACAGAGCAAACAUCAUCCAAGUGAGGGUUUGGUGGAGAUUUUUGCUGGGUUGUUUUCUUUUUCUGGAGUUCUGGAAAAGAACUCUCAUUAGCACAAAUGUGAGAAGGUACCACAAACGGAUGGCAGGGCAGCAGAAUUACAUUCCAGGCUCACUUGACAGUAGCACAUUUGUUUUUGUGCAGGAAGCCAGAACAGAACUCGCCAACAUCUGAGUUUCAGCAGAAUCUACUGCACAGCAUUACUGGGGUGAAGCAGUGCAGCAGCACAGUGCCUGCCUCGUGCAAACCGCUCCAUUCCUUCCCCAUCAGUUUGGCCCUCGUGCCAUAGACUUUGCUCAGCAAAAACCUUCAUUAAAUCCAUCCUUGUCUUUUGCUCUAUUUCUUUUUAAAUUCUCCUUGCUGGAGCUCAGAGGUGUACAGCACCACAGGAAACACACCAUAGCUUGGUUUGUCCAGCACUAAAUGUGAGUGCUACAGAGCAGAGCUCUGGCAGGAGGCUGAGCCUUGUUGCUUUUGAAAGCAGCGUCCUCUGUGGUCACCUAAUGCUGCAGCAGAGGCCUCCAAAGCAGAUCAUUCUGUUUCCAAAAUGCAAGGUGUUAUUUGUGCAGAUAAGACAGUUCUGCAGCAUUCUUCCUCUCCUGUGACUCUAUUAACAGGCAGACAGUAUGUAAAUGAGCAACAGCAUUUAACAGAAUAUUUUCAAACAGAUAUUUCAGGUCUAACUUACACUGUUAGAUCCAUUAAUCACACAGAGCUCUGAGUCCAGAAAUAACAAUAAGAAAAGCCUAUGUAGGUACAGGUUUCUAGGGUAAAUUGGUUUUCAUAAUGGUUUUACUCAUUUCAGCCAUGUUUUCCUGAGACCAGUCCGGCCAACUAUUAUUUUCCACUGUCUCUUUCAUCCAGUAAUUCUAGCAGACCAAACUGGAUAUUCCCCAUGACUCCAAAGUGUUCUUGAUGGAUUUUUAGAAGUGCUUUUAAUUUCACAGUUACUGAAGAAAAUGUGAAUGUCUGAUGAAAAUACCCACAUUCACUUGCAAGCCCAGGGACUUCCAAUUUGAUGCUGUCAAGGAUUAGCUUUCUGUGAAGAAAAAAAAAGAGAAAGAGUUGCUACCCUGUGACAUAUCAGAUAGAUUAUAGCACCAUUCUGUAUUGCCCACAGCAUGGGAAGCCAGUAUUAAAUUGCCAAAUUUAUCAGCUUUUAAGAUAUAAGUAGCUAACCACUUGUCCAGGCCAUUAGCUCGUGUUGGAAAUCUGACUUUUGCCUUCAACUGCAAUGGAUUCUAUCCAUAGAUUAUUCAAGUAUUAAAACCAAAAGCAGAUAUUAAAACUAAGAGUAUCAGAAAUGUAAUGUGAGAGUUUUAAAGCGAGAGUCCUGUAAAAAUAAGAUUAUUCUUGUCUAGAAACACAGCCCACAUGUCCUCUGGCAUCCUUUCCAACAUGAGGCAGCAAAACGCAUUUGAAGAAAUGAAGAACAGAUCAGAAAUAACCUGGGAGCAAACACUGAAUCUGCAGCAAAGAAAGAUUUCAGCCAGCUCUGCUGAAAAUAACAAGGAUGAACGGGACAUGUAUGAGGGGAGGGAGAAGGAACAGAGGAAACCCAGCAGAAAGAAAAUCAGGAAAGAACAAGGGAAGCGUUUGCAAGUUCCCUUGCCUUUGUCAUGGCUACCAGGGCAGCCUGAAGGGACAGAGGCACCGGAACACUGACGGUCAGGUCCUGUCUAAGGCCCUAACUUAUUUGCCAGCCACUCCAUUGAUGCAGAUGAAGGGUUUUCAGGUGAACAAGCUCCUAUUAGCAUUUUGCUUAUUCAGUUUAAGAAGAGUUGCUGAAAAGUUGGAUUUUUGUGGUAAAUACUGCAUAUCCACAUCUUGUUGGAACAGUGGCAGCAGUCUUUCUAAUUGACACUCUUUGUCCAGCACGUAAAAUAAUAACUGUAAAGCUUUAAUAUUUUCUUGGAAAUAAAUCAGUUUUGACUAAAUAAUUUUCUCAAAGUAUAAGAAAGGUUACAAAGGUCAGAAGAGCAAUUUGCAUUUCCGCAUUACCUUGGCUCAUUUUCAUCCAUAAGGAUGUGCUAGCUUGAAGCAUGGUAACCACAUCUGCUGAGUUUUGUCGCUAGAGAAUUAGGGUUUGCGUCAGUAAAACACCAAAGUGUGCUGUGAAGUGGGCAUGCCUGUGUACCAGCACUAGCACAGGUAUCCUGAACUUCUUUUUGCAUUACGAACUUUCUUGGGCUUGUUCUGGAUACUGAAGUUCAUUUUUAGCAUUCAGCUCCAUUUGAUAUCGCUGGCAUGAAAGCCAGAAGCCCAAACUUUCAGAUUAGAUUUGUGUGACAGAUGUUUAAAAGAGCAAAUGUGAGUCCGCCCCAGUUAUUAGAGAGGAGUACUGCAAAAAUGUUCAUGAUGAACACUGUUCAGAUUGCCUUGUACCUUUCCUUGGCUGCCAUUCAGCUGCUCUGCCAAAAAAGCUCCUCCCCCACUCCAAGCAGCCUGUCGAAUUAUCAGUGUGAAAACGUUUCGAGGUCUGUGCUGAGCUUGGAAAUCGAUGGCACUGCAUCUGGGUACCCCAUCCACACACCAGCCACAUAGGAUCCAACCUUUCUCUCUUGUCCUCCCAAGGAACUUCAUGGAGGCUCUGUGCCAUUCUGAUGUUCAGGGCCCCAAAGGAUUGGCACCAGCAGGGCUGCCUGUGUGUUCCAGGAGACAGAAGGGAUGGAUGAAAAAAAGGUUCUGGUCUGCAGAAACCCGAAGGGCUGGAGGGAGGCAAGAAGGAAACCGAGUAAAUAAAUAAACAAGUAAACAAAUAAAUAAACAGAAGAUGAUUAAGCCUUUAAAUUCAGAUUUCACCAAGAGCAAAAACAAAAGGAAAUUUUAAAUGUUGUUACGCCCCAACAGCUCCACUAAAGCAAAUAAAAUACUUUUAAAUCCGUGUUAUUUGAGUGGCUGCGGUUAUAAAGAAGAAAACUCACAGAAAAAGCCUUGGGUGCAGCAGGAGGCUAUAGUCAUUGCCUCAGCUGGGCAGGGAUGGGGGGCAGCCCCAGGGCCCCGCUCCACCUGGGGGUCCGGGGUGUCCUGCCCCAUGCUGGGCAGCCCCAGAGCCCCGUGUGCAGCCCCCUCUACUUGGGCAUGGAAUGGGGUCAGCAGCGAGGUGGUGUUAUGGGAACAGAUGGGACUUUGGCAGAACACUCAGUGCAUGAUUUUAUGCAUGUAAACAGAUGUGUUACAUGCAAAAUACACCUAUAUAGUUAUGCACACAUGCAUAGGUUGGAGGGUUUGUACACAAAUACUGCCUGUUAAUAAUGCAUAUAUAUCGUCUUUACAGACAGUGAUGACUCUUCUGACAAAAAUUAUGUUAAACUGAUCUAACCCUGUUUUUACCACUUGGCUCUCCUCACAUGCAUCCAUAGGCUGUUUGGCAACACGUGGUGUCAGUUCAGAGCCUGUGCCAGAUGCCCCUAUGGAUUUGAAGGCAAUAAACACCAUGAAGUCUGAAGCAAUGUACACAAAGUCACUCUACAAUAUAUGCAUAAUGAAUUUAGCGUUGAUUUAAGCUAAAUGAGUGACUGAGUGACUUCAUCUUUCGGUACUUGAUAUCCUGUAAACCUUUUUCCUGCUGGCAGUACACUCAGAAGUUGGUGCUCAGUCUGCUGGCGGGCUGUGAAAUCCCCCUGCAGCAGGGAGACUCAGAAGUGCAUCCUAUCUUCAGGGAUGAUUUCAAAUAAUCCACAUCACUUUGCUCGUGAUACGAUGGUUUGAUUUGCCUUCUUUCCGCUCCAGGCUUUCCUGCCUGCUGCUCCCAGGCACUGGACCUCAUUGUACCUUUGCCUGAUCAAUUUAAGAGCCGUUCUGCUGUCAGAAAUCUUCUCCCCCACAAGUACUUAAGCAGAGAUGAAGCAAGCUCUUUCAUUAUGUAAAUGGAACAGAUUGAGCUUGUUUGGUUUUCCAUUGUAAGGUAAGGCUUCCUGACCUCAAAUCGCUCCUGCCACUCUUAACCUGGAACCAUUCAAGUGCACUGACACUUCCAGAAGAUUUGCACUAAUCAAAAAUGUCUACAAGAAUAGCAACUGCAGCAGCCAUAUCCAAACUGGUUCCAUCUCCUUGGUUGGCUCUAUAGAGAAUUUUUCCAUAAUGUUAUCACAUUGGCAAGCACUUUAUUCUUUGGCUGUGUGCUAAUGCUAUUGCGUGCCUACUUUGUUACAGUAAUAAUAUUCUCAGUACUUCUAAUACCUUGCUAAAACACCAGGCAGAGAAUUCACUUACCGUGCAACACACAUGCACUUUUCCAAUGGGGAAGGAGCGUUGCACAGAUCAUUUAGGAGCUCGAGUAGUUCCAAAACUAUAUGCUGCUAGCUUCCAUCACACAGAGGUACCACGCAGCCCUGGUGAGCCUGCAGAGACCAGGGCAGACCCUGUAACCAGCAGGUACAUGCACGUGCACAGUGCUCGUGUGUACUGCAGGUAUUCAUGGGACUUGCACCAGGGGUCUGUGCAAAUGUCUCACACGGGAUGCAGAUAAGUCACAAAUUGUGAGCACCACCGAUGGAAGCUGCUCAGAGAGUUGCAUUGUAAAUAAUUACAAUAAAAUAUUCCUGGCUGUCUCUUUCCAUUUAGCAGCUUUACUGACAGCAGAAAACAAGCAAUCUGAGGAGCCAGUAGGUUUGCUGGUAUUUGUGGGUUAUGAUUCUGCAAGGAUGUGAGCAGAUUACAAAUUGCAGACCUGAGGACAAGUUGUUAGUUGUGUUGCUCAGCUCCCGCCGGUGCAUGUCGGUCUCUCCAUGGAACACAGCCAGCAGCAGAUGCUGCUGCAGACACGUGGAGCCGUACCACGUCUUGGUUUCCCAUUUCUAAGAAUACAAGAUGUAGAAAUUACAGCGGUAACGAUCUUCUUUGCGCGACUCAAAACCCUGAAGAUUUUAAGAGAUCCUCAUGGUCUAACAAAUGCUAUAUAAUCGGAUUCUUUCUUUUUCUAACUAUGUUUAGAAAAGCUUAUAAGCGUCUCCGAGAUGCAGCUUGCGGCUUAAGAAGAGGGAUGAUGUAGGGGUGUCAAAGCUGUACUGCUAGCAGCCUCUAUCAAAUUAAGAUAUAGAUUUGCAAACCUUCCAGAAGCAAGUGGUCCCACCGGGGAAACUGUCUGCAGAAUUCUGUGAGAUAAUGUGCUGAGAGGCAACGCUCCCAUAAAUCCAGGGGGUGUUUGGGGCUCUCAGCACAUCGCUGUGCUCAACCUUAAAAUAUGCAGGGCUGCCGAACGUAUCCCUAACGUAACCAUUUGGCAGCAGAGUAAGAGUGCUGCAGAUGUUGCUUUAUGUCUGAGGACUGGGGAAGCAGCAUUGCAAAGGACAGCCUAUAAGCUCCAUUUAGAGGUGUGCCUGUUUUUGAUUUCAGAAGGUUCUGUUUUCACAUCUCCAAGCUUUCAGUAGCGUCCACAAGAGCUGGGUGCAGGCUGCAGUGCCUGGCUCCUCCAGGCUCCUCAGUCCCCACUGCAAAGCACACACGGGCAUUAGAGGUGGCAGUGCUGAGGCUCAGUGUAUCUGACCCAUCCUGGUCACAGGAGAAAUGGAGAUACUGAUUCCCCAAGGAACGGGUCAGGUCCUGCACUGGCCAAGAAGGCGCCUGUUGGAGUGGGGAGGAGUUUGAAUUCCAAGGCUUUGGGAAGCUUCUUGCCAAGGGCUUCACCCAGAGAGCACAAGGCACCUCCCAGGCACCCACCACACCCGCCCAGGUAUCACCCCCUGCAGGAUGUGCCCAGCAGCCGUGGUGGCCUCAGCAGCUUUCUGCCUGGGCUCCAGGUCUUCUCCAUCACAAACUCUGUGUGUGAUGCACUGGCUGGGAUGGCAGCAAGUGCCACUGGGGGCCAGCACACAGCUAGGGAAAAAAA